UACGAAGGGGGCUAGCGUUGUUCGGAAUUACUGGGCGUAAAGCGCGCGUAGGCGGUUUUGCAAGCCAGAGGUGAAAUGCCUGAGCUCAACUUAGGAAUUGCCUUUGGGACUGCGAGGCUUUGAGGACGGGAGAGGUGAGUGGAAUUCCCAGUGUAGAGGUGAAAUUCGUAGAUAUUGGGAAGAACACCGGUGGCGAAGGCGGCGUUCUGGACUGCAACUGACACUGAGGAACGAAAGCCAGGGGAGCAAACGGG
rnacentral:rRNA from 1 species